rnacentral:misc_RNA from 1 species
GGAAGUAAAGGUCGUAACAAGGGCUCCGUAGGUGAACCUGCGGAGGGAUCAUUACAGAGUUCAUGCCCUACCGGGUAGAUCUCCCACCCUAUGUUAUUAUUACUUUGUUGCUUUGGCGGGCCGUUAGGCUCCGGCCCGACUACCGGCCCCGGCUGGUAAGCGCCCGCCAGAGGACCCAAAACCCUGAAUAUUAGUGUCGUCUGAGUACUAUAUAAUAGUUAAAACUUUCAACAACGGAUCUCUUGGUUCUG